rnacentral:rRNA from 1 species
AUUGAACGCUGGCGGAAUGCUUUACACAUGCAAGUCGAACGGUAGAGGGGGCAACCCCUCGAGAGUGGCGAACGGGUGAGUAAUAUAUCGGAACGUGCCCAGUCGUGGGGGAUAACGUAGCGAAAGUUACGCUAAUACUGCAUACGAUCUAAGGAUGAAAGCGGGGGAUCGCAAGACCUCGCGCGAUUGGAGCGGCCGAUAUCAGAUUAGGUAGUUGGUGGGGUAAAGGCUCACCAAGCCAACGAUCUGUAGCUGGUCUGAGAGGACGACCAGCCACACUAGAACUGAGACACGGGCCAGACUCCUACGGGAGGCAGCAGUGGUGAAUUUUGGACAAUGGACGCAAGUCUGAUCCAGCCAUUCCGCGUGCAUGAUGAAGGCCCUCGGGUUGUAAACUGCUUUUGUACGGAACGAAAAGGUCUCUCUUAAUACGGGGGACUCAUGACGGUACCGUAAGAAUAAGCACCGGCUAACUACGUGCCAGCAGCCGCGGUAA